rnacentral:rRNA from 1 species
CGGAGGUGGCAAGCGUUGUUCGGAAUUACUGGGCGUAAAGGGCGCGUAGGCGGCAAAGGCAAGGUCAGGUCGUGAAAGCCCCGAGCUUAACUCGGGAAUUGCAUCUGAAACUGCUGUGCUUGAGUUCUGGAGGGGGUAGUGGAAUUCCCAGUGUAGCGGUGAAAUGCGUAGAUAUUGGGAGGAACACCUGCGGCGAAGGCGGCUACCUGGACAGAAACUGACGCUGAGGCGCGAAAGCUAGGGGAGCGAACGGGAUUAGAUACCCCGGUAGUCCUAGCCGUAAACGAUGGGCACUUGGUGUUGGGGGGUAUUGACGUCCCCCAGUGCCGGAGUUAACACGUUAAGUGCCCCGCCUGGGGAGUACGGUCGCAAGACUG